AUGCACUUAUUCUGGAAUGAAGCUACACCCGGCUCUGUGAUGGAAACUUUCAUGGAUGGUGGACAACAGUUAGAGGAUAAAUAUCUACAGCCAGUCCCUCCAUGGUUGUUUUCUUCUCAGCUACAACAUCAAAUUACUUCCAAGGUACUAGCUCUGAACAUUUACCCAGCAGGUGCUUCAUAUUCUGGUCCUUAUUAUUGCCGAUGGGAACUUGCAUGGUUGAUUGUGCCAUCAUCCUGUGCUCGUACCAAAUUUGGAGGAAGUGAAACUUUCACCAAUAUGUCUUCCCCAGUCCGUCCAUUAACUCUGAAGGAGUCAACAUCCAUGUUUCUUGUGGCUGACCUAUGGAGGAAGGGAAAUGUGGCAAUCUACCUAAACUUUAACACAGUCCAGACUCCCAGAUUUUGCAUGGUUGGUCAGCAAAUGUUUCCAGGUCAAUCCUUGUUGAUAUUUUUGCCGUCAUGGCUUUUGUUGCCUCUUGCUGUUCUGGAUCUAGGUGAGGAGAUACUUGGGUUGAGGAAUGGUCUCUUUUUGUUGGAAUGUAAUCCAUGCAUUGAGAAAUUACAAAAAUAUUCAGUUUCCCUAAUAGAACUGAAACCUUGGCCAUCCUGGGAGCUAUCCUUAUCGUUCCUGACCUUGAGUAUCAUUGAAAAUCUCAUGCAAAUCGCCAAUUCAACCAGAGUACAAGCCGAAUCACAGAGGAGCCAUCAGUGGAAAUAUGGCUGGCGAGCAGUGUCUUGGUUAGGAGAUAUUCUCCUACAGGUUGCAAUUCGCCAAAAUGCUGGAGUUGCUUGUUGUUGGGGAACAUCUAACCAUCGAGAGAUGAGGUUUUGCUACUUUUGGGAGUCUGACAGUGAGCUUCUUGCAUCGGACCUUCUUCUUGCACCGGACCAUUAG
rnacentral:rRNA from 1 species